rnacentral:lncRNA from 1 species
CAAGCCCACAAAGUUUUCCGCUUCUACUUUCAGAAUUUCAUCAUCAGCCUACAUAAUUCUGUAUGUAAUGAACACACAGGCCAAAGUAAGCCUUUCUUUUCUGGUGUUCUUCACAAAUGCUUCCCUACUCUGAGAUUUUCUGUAGAGCAGCACCUUAGCAGAAGUUAAAAGCCUUUAAUAUUCAACAAGUAGCCCCGGUAGCUCCAGGCUGCAGGCCAAAUAUCUCUACUUUACUCUCUCUAUGUUGACCAGUGACUGCUUCCCAUGUACCACUCCCAUCUAUCUUAUUUCUCUUUCAGUGCAUUGUACAUGAUAUUGUGUCUCCCAUUCAAAAAAACUGUUCCAUUUCUGCUUUCUCUUUCACUACUGCUAAGAUCAAUAACUAUCCUGUCUUAUGUUUUACCUAAACAACUUCAGUCUUAUAAUUUAUCUUGCAGUUCUUGCUUCCUCCCACAGCACCUCAGUGAAAAUGCUCCCAGACAUGGGAGUAUGCACAGCAAUGGAUACAAAAAUCUUAUGCAUGGGAUGCUCAUCUCUCUCUCAGCUAUCUUGCAUUAUCUUGAAGCAUAUUAUGCAGAAGUUUGUUUUCUGUGUACAGAACUGUCAUGUAUCUCUUGUUUAUAA